rnacentral:rRNA from 1 species
CCUACGGGGGGCAGCAGUGGGGGAUAUUGGACAAUGGGCGGAACCCUGAUCCAGCGACGCCGCGUGAGUGAAGAAGUAUCUCGGUAUGUAAAGCUCUAUCAGCAGGGAAGAAGAAAUGACAGUACCUGACCAAGAAGCCCCGGCUAACUACGUGCCAGCAGCCGCGGUAAUACGUAGGGGGCAAGCGUUAUCCGGAUUUACUGGGGGGAAAGGGAGCGUAGACGGUUAAGUAAGUCUGGAGUGAAAGACCGGGGCCCAACCCCGGGACUGCUUUGGAAACUGUGUAACUGGAGUACAGGAGAGGCAGGCGGAAUGCCUGGUGUAGCGGUGAAAUGAGUAGAUAUCAGGAGGAACACCGGCGGCGAAGGCGGCCUGCUGGACUGAAACUGACGUUGAGGCUCGAAAGCGUGGGGAGCAAACAGGAUUAGAUACCCGUGUAGUC